UACGGAGGGGGCUAGCGUUGUUCGGAAUUACUGGGCGUAAAGCGCACGUAGGCGGCUUUGUAAGUUAGAGGUGAAAGCCCGGGGCUCAACUCCGGAAUUGCCUUUAAGACUGCAUCGCUAGAAUUGUGGAGAGGUAAGUGGAAUUCCGAGUGUAGAGGUGAAAUUCGUAGAUAUUCGGAAGAACACCAGUGGCGAAGGCGACUUACUGGACACAUAUUGACGCUGUGGUGCGAAAGCGUGGGGAGCAAACAGG
rnacentral:rRNA from 1 species